rnacentral:rRNA from 1 species
UAUCUCUGUAGAGUCUGCAUAUCAAUAAGCGGAGGAAAAGAAACUAACUAGGAUUCCCUCAGUAACGGCGAGUGAAGCGGGAAGAGCUCAAAUUUGAAAUCUUCAAGGUUCUACCUUGACGAAUUGUAGUUUAAAGAAGUGUUUUCUGUUAGAUGAGUAGCAAAAGUUCCUUGGAAUGGGACAUCAUAGAGGGUGAGAAUCCCGUAUUUGACCGUUAUUUUCAGCUGUGUGAUACACUUUCAAAGAGUCGGAUUGUUUGGGAAUGCAGUCCAAAAUGGGUGGUAAAUUUCAUCUAAAGCUAAAUAUUGGCGAGAGACCGAUAGCGAACAAGUACCGUGAGGGAAAGAUGAAAAGAACUUUGAAAAGAGAGUUAAACAGUACGUGAAAUUGUCAAAAGGGAAGCGUUUGACACCAGUGUUGUUUUCUCGAAAAUCAAUUAAAAAAGGCAGGAUUUUGUGUUGUAUUGACCUUUAUCAGCUUUCUGCACUCUUUUCUUGUCUUUUUUAAUGCACUUUUCGUUUAACAAGUCAACAUCAGUUUCUUUUGUUGUAAAAGGGUCAUUGGAAGGUGGCUUUCUUCUCGGAGAAAGUGUUUAUAGCCUUUGGCCUCUGCAAUCGGAGAGAUUGAGGUCUGCAGCGUAGAUCCUUCGGGGUUAGAUACAUUUGUGCUAAGUUAUAGCCUUUCAUAGACAACUUGUUGACUAUGAUCAGUCAUGUAGCUUACUCGCUUAUGCUAUUUUACCUACGCUUAGGAUGUUGAAGAUGUAGCACAUCAU